rnacentral:rRNA from 1 species
CUUCUUUUCCCAGGGAGGUCAGGUAUGGACCGGUUCCUGAGGGUUAGGCCUGAAUUACGGCCUUAGCAGUGGGCCUUGUCUCCGCGCCCCAUGAAGGAUUUCGGAUCCCUGAUUCUAGUCAGCCCACACCUCGUUAUCGAGUGCAGCUACGAUAUGGCUUAAGCUCCCAGGCGCUCAGUUGUGUAACUGAGCUAUCAUCAUGCAUGAACUGUUGGCUGAGUGGGUAGGGCAGAGGGAUCCGGUAGCGUGAAUGCGUAGAUAUCGGGAGACACAGGGCGAGGCGCUCUGCUGGUCAUCACUGACGUCAUGACGAAAGGCAGGGAGCGAAAGGGAUAGAUACCCCUGUAGUCUGGCCGUAAACGAUGAUCACUAGUGUCGGGGGAAUCGACCCCCUCCGGGGUCGUAGUCAACGCGUUAAGUGUUCCGCCUGGGGAGUACGCACGCAAGUGUGAAACUCAAAGGAAUUGACGGGGGCCCGCACAAGCGGUGGAGUAUGUGGUUUAAUUCGAUGCAACGCGAAGAACCCUUAUCAGGGUUUGACAUCCUGCGAAUCUUUUGGAAACGAGAGAGUGCCUUCGGGAGCGCAGUGACAGGUGGUGCAUGGCUGUCGUCAGCUCGUGUCGUGAGAUGUUGGGUUAAGUCCCGCAACGAGCGCAACCCACGUCUUUAGUUGCCAGCAUUCAGUUGGGCACUCUAGAGAGACCGCCGGUGAUAAACCGGAGGAAGGUGUGGAUGACGUCAAGUCAUCAUGCCCCUUACAUACUGGGCUACACACGUACUACAAUGCUACGGACAGAGGGCAGCAAGUUCGCGAGGACAAGCAAAUCCCAUAAACCGUGGCUCAGUUCAGAUCGUAGGCUGCAACUCGCCUACGUGAAGGAGGAAUCGCUAGUAAUCGCAGGUCAGCAUACUGCGGUGAAUACGUUCCCGGGCCUUGUACACACCGCCCGUCACACCAUGGAAGUUGGCCACGCCCGAAGCCGUUACUCCAACCCUUGUGGAGGAGGACGUCGAAGGUGGGGCUGAUGACUGGGGUGAAGUCGUAACAAGGUAA